CCAUGUUUAUUGGGCCUAAAGCGUUCGUAGCCGGUUUGAUAACUUUCUUGUGAAAUUGUUCAGCUUAACUGAUCAACGUGCAAGAAAAACUGUCAAACUUGGAACCGGUAGGGGAUAGAGGUAUUUCAAGGGGAGCGGUAAAAUGCUAUAAUCCUUGGAGGACCACCGAUGGCGAAGGCAUCUAUCCAGGACGGAUUCGACGGUCAGGAACGAAGGCUAGGGGAGCAAAACGGAUUAGAUACCCGAGUAGUCCUAGCUGUAAACGCUGUGAGCUGAGUGUUGCAUUUUCUUCGUGAAUGUGCAGCGCUUAAGUGAAGAUGUUAAGCUCACCGCCUGGGAAGUAUAGUCGCAAGACCGAAACUUAAAGGAAUUGGCGGGGGCUCGCUACAAGGAGUGCGGCGUGCGGUUUAAUCUAACUAUACGCAGAGAAUCUCACCAGCAGCGACGGCAGAAUGAAGGUCAGAUUGAAGGUUUUACCUAACAAGCCGAGAGGUGGUGCAUGGCCGCCGUCAGUUCGUGCCGUAAGGUGUUACGUUAAGUCGUAAAACGAACGAGACCCAUGCCCAUAUUUGCUAACAUUUCCUCAGGGAAGAAUGAG
rnacentral:rRNA from 1 species